GAAAAACCAGAAAAGAAAUGGGUAAAGG
rnacentral:rRNA from 1 species